UGGGGAAUUUUGGACAAUGGACGCAAGUCUGAUCCAGCCAUGCCGCGUGCGGGAAGAAGGCCUUCGGGUUGUAAACCGCUUUUGUCAGGGAAGAAACGAGUUUCUCUAAUACAGAGACUUAAUGACGGUACCUGAAGAAUAAGCACCGGCUAACUACGUGCCAGCAGCCGCGGUAAUACGUAGGGUGCAAGCGUUAAUCGGAAUUACUGGGCGUAGAGCGUGCGCAGGCGGUUAUAUAAGACAGAUGUGAAAUCCCCGGGCUCAACCUGGGAACUGCAUUUGUGACUGUAUAGCUAGAGUACGGCAGAGGGGGAUGGAAUUCCGCGUGUAGCAGUGAAAUGCGUAGAUAUGCGGAGGAACACCGAUGGCGAAGGCAAUCCCCUGGACCUGUACUGACGCUCAUGCACGAAAGCGUGGGGAGCAAACA
rnacentral:rRNA from 1 species